CAGACCUCUGAUCAGAAAAGACUACCCGCUGAGUUUAA
rnacentral:rRNA from 46 species